rnacentral:rRNA from 1 species
AUUGAACGCUGGCGGCAGGCCUAACACCUGCAAGUCGAGCGAGCGGCGGACUGGUGAGUAAUGUAUGGGGACUGCCCGAAAGAGGGGGUAACCACUGGAAAAGGUGGCUAAUACCGCAUAAUAUAGGAUAGCACAUAUGGGAUUGGCUAGUAGGUGGGGUAAAGGCUAACCUAGGCGACGUGAUCUAGCUGGUCUGAGCGGAUGAUGAGCCACACGUGGACUGAGACACCGCCCAUACGCCUCCGGAGGCAGCAGUGGGAAAGAGUGUACAAGGGGCGCAAGCCGGAUGCAGCCAUGCGGCUGGUAUGAAGAAGGCCUUAGGGUUGUAAAGUACUUUCAGCGGGGAGGCGUUACCCGCAGAAGAAGCACCGGCUAACUCCGUGCUAGCAGCCGCGGUAAUAC